UGGGGAAUUUUGGACAAUGGGCGAAAGCCUGAUCCAGCAAUGCCGCGUGUGUGAAGAGGGCCUUCGGGUUGUAAAGCACUUUUGUCCGGAAAGAAAUCCUUGGCUCUAAUACAGUCGGGGGAUGACGGUACCGGAAGAAUAAGCACCGGCUAACUACGUGCCAGCAGCCGCGGUAAUACGUAGGGUGCAAGCGUUAAUCGGAAUUACUGGGCGUAAAGCGUGCGCAGGCGGUUUGCUAAGACCGAUGUGAAAUCCCCGGGCUCAACCUGGGAACUGCAUUGGUGACUGGCAGGCUAGAGUAUGGCAGAGGGGGGUAGAAUUCCACGUGUAGCAGUGAAAUGCGUAGAGAUGUGGAGGAAUACCGAUGGCGAAGGCAGCCCCCUGGGCCAAUACUGACGCUCAUGCACGAAAGCGUGGGGAGCAAACAGGAUUAGAUACCCUGGUAGUCCACGCCCUAAACGAUGUCAACUAGUUGUUGGGGAUUCAUUUCCUAGUAACGUAGCUAACGCGUGAAGUUGACCGCCUGGGGAGUACGGUCGCAAGAUUAAAACUCAAAGGAAUUGACGGGGUCAUAGCUGUUUCCU
rnacentral:rRNA from 1 species